AGAGUACUUAAACACUUCUCAGAAUUAGUUGUUUUUGUUGGAUUAUGAACUUGCGAGCACCUACUUUGCAACUCAACGGUGGAUUUCCCUGAGCCCAAAUUCAACAGUAUUUUUCACAAAAAAACAAUGCUUUAUUGACACAUGAAAUGCUUUAUGAUCGAUUUUUUUAAACUAACACAAGUUGCUAUAUCUCAUUAACUAAUAGUUAUAAUCCAACUAAUAGAAAUCAUAUAGAUGGUAGUAGUAGUAUUAUCUAUGUAUCAGCCACAGUGAAGCGUGGACGGGUCCUCUAGUAUAAGUAUAUAUUUAUAUACAACACAAGAAACGCCUUCUCCAUUUGAAUCACAACUUAAUAGACGAUUUUAUUAUCAAUAGGCCGAUAUAUUUCUUUAGAAAUGAUUCAAAUCUUUUCACUCAACAAUAUUCAAUCGCUUCACUAAAACUUUUCAUUAAAAUCGAAAGAAUUAAUAAUAUUUUGCGAAUUUACAAAAGUGUUCACUUUUCUGUUUACAAUUUGCAAGCCAUUUGACAGUUUUUCACUCUUGUUCUUCUCAACUCGCAACUAUGACGUUUCAUAAUGGCGGUUCUCCUAAUUUUGUAUUCUAUCAUUCUUGAUCUAGUCUCAAAACAUUGUCUCUAAUUUUGUCAGCUGGUAAUAAACAGGGCACAAACGUAUUAAGAAAAGAGAAAACAAGCAUUGGACGAAGAAGUCGUAGCUUUUUUGUUAAUUUUACAAACUUAUGAAAAUGAAGAAAGAAAUGCAAACAGGAGGAAUUUGGCGCACUUAAGGAAUAGUGAGAAUCCAUUUUUAUUGGAGGAAGGAAUAUUUAGAAAAUAUUUUCGUUUUCCGAAAUCGUUGUGUUGGGACCUUAUGCACUACUUGAAACCUCACGAUAAUCGUUUCCGAAAGUCUGCUAUUCCUUUUGAGAUUCGGUUCGUUUCAGUGCUAUAUUUUUUUUUUUCAAAUGGCUCAUACCAAUACUGGAUUGGAAAUAGCCAUUUAUCUGCCAUGAGCAGGGAUGGGCACCAUCACAAUCAAACAAGCAUCACAAAAUGAAAUUGUGUUAGUGCGCUUACUGUGGGACCAAGCGUACCAGCAACCAAAAAUAAUCAGUCUGCUUGCAGAUGUCGAACGAGCAGGUCUAUGUCGCACGAAGCCGCAAUGCUACGAAUACGUACAUAUGUAUAUACAUAUGCACAUUUUUAAGAAUAUGUGCAUAAACCAUUGAAUAUAAAAUAUAAUUAUUUUUCAUUUCAGGCAAGAAUAAAAUUUAAGUUAUUAGUUAAUUAUAAAUUAGUAAUCUAAUUCAUUUAAAAACUUAAAAAUAAAUUAAAUUUGUAUAUGAAAAGAAAAUAUAAAUCUAUAUUUGAAUUCAUAGAAUAUUUUAAAUAUAUAACGAAACUUCAAUAAAGUUAAAGCUAUUAGAAAAUGAAAGCUAUUAUAAUAUGAAAUAUUAUGAAUACACAUUUCAAGAGGUCAGUUAAUUUCAAACAAUUAUCCGAGUGUCAAAAAAAAAAGAGUUCAUUCUGUAAUAAAUUUAAGAAGGUUAUUUAUUUCUUUGUGAAAGAUUAUAAAAUGUCUUUUUAAAUUUUGCUUAAAUACAAAAUUUAAAACUAUUUGACAUAACAAGCACUGCGGCUUCCCAGAAUUAUUCAAAAGAAAAAAAAAUUCAAAUUCCCACUCUGUCUGAAACGUUUUUUGGUCUUCCAUGUUUAUACUCGCAUAUGUGUUCAUUUAUAUACGGCAUACAACUCGUGCGCAUCAACCUGCUCAGUUCAACUUCUGAUUGCAGACUGAUUUUAACAUCGCUUUGUUCCAGGCAUGGGCAAAGUCUUAGCAGGUGCUAAAAGAGCGUAAGCUAUCGCAUACGUACACACACCGAUUGUCACUAACACGCACAAGCGAAGAGCGUAAAACGAGCACUUACGAUGGAACAAAGCGAUGUUAAAAUCAGUCUGCAAUCAGAAGUUGAACUGAGCAGGUUGAUGCGCACGAGUUGUAUGCCGUAUAUAAAUGAACACAUAUGCGAGUAUAAACAUGGAAGACCAAAAAACGUUUCAGACAGAGUGGGAAUUUGAAUUUUUUUUCUUUUGAAUAAUUCUGGGAAGCCGCAGUGCUUGUUAUGUCAAAUAGUUUUAAAUUUUGUAUUUAAGCAAAAUUUAAAAAGACAUUUUAUAAUCUUUCACAAAGAAAUAAAUAACCUUCUUAAAUUUAUUACAGAAUGAACUCUUUUUUUUUUGACACUCGGAUAAUUGUUUGAAAUUAACUGACCUCUUGAAAUGUGUAUUCAUAAUAUUUCAUAUUAUAAUAGCUUUCAUUUUCUAAUAGCUUUAACUUUAUUGAAGUUUCGUUAUAUAUUUAAAAUAUUCGAUGAAUUCAAAUAUAGAUUUAUAUUUUCUUUUCAUAUACAAAUUUAAUUUAUUUUUAAGUUUUUAAAUGAAUUAGAUUACUAAUUUAUAAUUAACUAAUAACUUAAAUUUUAUUCUUGCUUGAAAUGAAAAAUAAUUAUAUUUUAUAUUCAAUGGUUUAUGCACAUAUUCUUAAAAAUGUGCAUAUGUAUAUACAUACGUAUUCGUAGCAUUGCGGCUUCGUGCGACAUAGACCUGCUCGUUCGACAUCUGCAAGCAGACUGAUUAUUUUUGGUUGCUGGUACGCUUGGUCCCACAGUAAGCGCACUAACACAAUCUCAUUUUGUGAUGCUUGUUUGAUUGUGAUGGUGCCCAUCCCUGCUUUGUUCCAUCGUAAGUGCUCGUUUUACGCUCUUCGCUUGUGCGUGUUAGUGACAAUCGGUGUGUGUACGUAUACGACAGUGGUCGGCAUGAGAGGAUCUGUCACUGUGUUGGUGAGCACGAAAAAAAAGUAGCCCAGUGAGAAAUUGGAAUUAAAAUUAAGCAAUUUUAAUUAUUAAUUAAUAGUAUAAUGAAAAUUAACAAAUUGUCUUUUGAGGAUAUAUUCCCUAUUAUCUUUAAAAGACUUGGAACAUAAAAGGCAUUGCAUGGCAUCAAAGGCAUUUAGAACCAUAAAAUAUUUCUUGCAGGGCAUAUUUCGU